rnacentral:rRNA from 1 species
GACGGCCGCUGGCGGCGUGCUUAACACAUGCAAGUCGAACGGAAAGGCCCCGCUUUUGUGGGGUGCUCGAGUGGCGAACGGGUGAGUAACACGUGAGUAACCUGCCCUUGACUUUGGGAUAACUUCAGGAAACUGGGGCUAAUACCGGAUAGGAGCUCCUGCUGCAUGGUGGGGGUUGGAAAGUUUCGGCGGUUGGGGAUGGACUCGCGGCUUAUCAGCUUGUUGGUGGGGUAGUGGCUUACCAAGGCUUUGACGGGUAGCCGGCCUGAGAGGGUGACCGGCCACAUUGGGACUGAGAUACGGCCCAGACUCCUACGGGAGGCAGCAGUGGGGAAUAUUGCACAAUGGGCGGAAGCCUGAUGCAGCAACGCCGCGUGCGGGAUGACGGCCUUCGGGUUGUAAACCGCUUUCGCCUGUGACGAAGCGUGAGUGACGGUAAUGGGUAAAGAAGCACCGGCUAACUACGUG